rnacentral:rRNA from 1 species
AACGAACGCUGGCGGCAUGCCUAACACAUGCAAGUCGAACGAGACCUUCGGGUCUAGUGGCGCACGGGUGCGUAACGCGUGGGAACCUGCCCUUAGGUUCGGAAUAACUCCCCGAAAGGGGUGCUAAUACCGGAUAAUGUCUUCGGACCAAAGAUUUAUCGCCUUUGGAUGGGCCCGCGUUGGAUUAGCUAGUUGGUAGGGUAAAAGCCUACCAAGGCGACGAUCCAUAGCUGGUAUGAGAGGAUGAUCAGCCACACUGGGACUGAGACACGGCCCAGACUCCUACGGGAGGCAGCAGUGGGGAAUAUUGGACAAUGGGCGAAAGCCUGAUCCAGCAAUGCCGCGUGAGUGAUGAAGGCCUUAGGGUUGUAAAGCUCUUUUACCCGGGAUGAUAAUGACAGUACCGGGAGAAUAAGCUCCGGCUAACUCCGUG